AUUUUAUGUGGUGCUGCAAAUUUAAGGUUGAGACAAUAUUGGACAACAUAUACGUAUAAACGCUAAAGGUACAGAUACUUAUUUUGGAGAGCCGCCACCUUAGGAUUCUACUCAACGGGUUGAAUUGCUCCAUUGUCUCGGAGCCUAAACUUUUGGUACUAAUCCUUAUAAUGUAUAUAUUUGUGUAUUUAGGGGUACGGCGGGGCCCUGUCCCGUCAUAUGCUAUUGUUAAUCCUCUUAGAGGUCUGUAGACAUAUGAGUGAGUUGUAUGUAGAUGUUGUCUGGUGUACUAGUAUGGCUUAUGUUUUUGGACAUUUACAUUGGGAGU